UACCAGCACCCCCGAGUGGUCGGGACGUUUAUUGGGCCUAAAGCAUCCGUAGCCGGUUCUACAAGUCUUCCGUUAAAUCCAGCUGCUUAACAGAUGGGCUGCGGAAGAUACUAUGGAGCUAGGAGGCGGGAGAGGCAAGCGGUACUCGAUGGGUAGGGGUAAAAUCCGUUGAUCCAUUGAAGACCACCAGUGGCGAAGGCGGCUUGCCAGAACGCGCUCGACGGUGAGGGAUGAAAGCUGGGGGAGCAAACAGG
rnacentral:rRNA from 1 species